rnacentral:rRNA from 1 species
UACGUAGGGAGCAAGCGUUGUUCGGAUUUACUGGGCGUAAAGGGCGCGUAGGCGGCAAUUCAAGUCACUUGUGAAAUCUCCGGGCUUAACUCGGAACGGUCAAGUGAUACUGCUUUUGCUAGAGUGCGGAAGGGGCAAUCGGAAUUCUCGGUGUAGCGGUGAAAAUGCGUAGAUAUCGAGAGGAAUACUGAGGUGGAAGACG